CCUACGGGAGGCAGCAGUAAGGAAUAUUGGUCAAUGGACGAAAGUCUGAACCAGCCAUGCCGCGUGAAGGAUUAAGGCCCUCUGGGUUGUAAACUUCUUUUAUCUGGGACGAAAAAAGGGUAUUCUUACUCACUUGACGGUACCAGAGGAAUAAGCACCGGCUAACUCCGUGCCAGCAGCCGCGGUAAUACGGAGGGUGCAAGCGUUAUCCGGAUUUACUGGGUUUAAAGGGUGCGUAGGUGGGCUUGUAAGUCAGUGGUGAAAUCUCCGGGCUUAACCCGGAAACUGCCAUUGAUACUAUAGGUCUUGAAUUAUCUGGAGGUAAGCGGAAUAUGUCAUGUAGCGGUGAAAUGCUUAGAUAUGACAUAGAACACCAAUUGCGAAGGCAGCUUACUACGGAUAUAUUGACACUGAGGCACGAAAGCGUGGGGAUCAAACAGGAUUAGAUACCCUGGUAGUCCACGCCCUAAACGAUGGAUACUCGACAUCAGCGAUACACUGUUGGUGUCUGAGCGAAAGCAUUAAGUAUCCCACCUGGGAAGUACGAUCGCAAGAUUGAAACUUAAAUGAAUUGACGGCUGAGAGNGCGAGACGACGACGAGGGAGGAGG
rnacentral:rRNA from 1 species